rnacentral:rRNA from 2 species
UGCUGACGAGUGGCGGACGGGUGAGUAACGCGUAGGAAUCUGCCCAUCUGUGGGGGAUACCAGUUGGAAACGACUGUUAAUACCGCAUAAUAUCUGCGGAUUAAAGGUGGCCUUUGCGCUGCCGCAGAUGGAUGAGCCUGCGUUGGAUUAGCUAGUUGGUGGGGUAAGGGCCUACCAAGGCUACGAUCCAUAGCUGAUUUGAGAGGAUGAUCAGCCACAUUGGGACUGAGACACGGCCCAAACUCCUACGGGAGGCAGCAGUGGGGAAUAUUGGACAAUGGGGGAAACCCUGAUCCAGCAAUGCCAUGUGUGUGAAGAAGGCUCUAGGGUUGUAAAGCACUUUAGUUGGGGAGGAAAGCCUGUGAGUUAAUAGCUUGCAGGAAGGACGUUGCCCAAAGAAUAAGGACCGGCUAACUCCGUGCCAGCAGCCGCGGUAAUACGGGGGGUCCGAGCGUUAAUCGGAAUUACUGGGCGUAAAGGGUCUGUAGGUGGUUUGUUAAGUCAGAUGUGAAAGCCCAGGGCUCAACCUUGGAACUGCAUUUGAUACUGACAAACUAGAGUAUGGUAGAGGAAUAGGGAACUUCUGGUGUAGCGGUGAAAUGCGUAGAGAUCAGAAGGAACACCAAUGGCGAAGGCAACAUUCUGGACCAAUACUGACACUGAGGGACGAAAGCGUGGGGAUCAAACAGGAUUAGAUACCCUGGUAGUCCACGCUGUAAACGAUGAGUACUAGCUGUUGGAUUCGGUGUAAAGGAUCUAGUGGCGCAGCUAACGCGUUAAGUACUCCGCCUGGGGACUACGGCCGCAAGGCUAAAACUCAAAGGAAUUGACGGGGACCCGCACAAGCGGUGGAGCAUGUGGUUUAAUUCGAUGCAACGCGAAGAACCUUACCUGGUCUUGACAUCCUGCGAACUUUCUAGAGAUAGAUUGGUGCCUUCGGGAACGCAGUGACAGGUGCUGCACGGCUGUCGUCAGCUCGUGUUGUGAAAUGUUGGGUUAAGUCCCGCAACGAGCGCAACCCCUAUUGAUAGUUACCAUCAUUAAGUUGGGUACUCUAUUGAGACUGCCGCUGACAAGGCGGAGGAAGGUGGGGACGACGUCAAGUCAUCAUGGCCCUUACGACCAGGGCUACACACGUGCUACAAUGGGUAUUACAGAGGGCUGCGAAGGUGCGAGCUGGAGCGAAACUCAGAAAGGUACUCUUAGUCCGGAUUGCAGUCUGCAACUCGACUGCAUGAAGUCGGAAUCGCUAGUAAUCGCAGGUCAGAAUACUGCGGUGAAUACGUUCCCGGGUCUUGUACACACCGCCCGUCACACCAUGGGAGUGGGUUGCUCCAGAAGUAGAUAGCUUAACGAA